UGGGGAAUAUUGCACAAUGGGCGCAAGCCUGAUGCAGCCAUGCCGCGUGUGUGAAGAAGGCCUUCGGGUUGUAAAGCACUUUCAGCGAGGAGGAAGGGUAGUGUGUUAAUAGCACAUUGCAUUGACGUUACUCGCAGAAGAAGCACCGGCUAACUCCGUGCCAGCAGCCGCGGUAAUACGGAGGGUGCAAGCGUUAAUCGGAAUUACUGGGCGUAAAGCGCACGCAGGCGGUUUGUUAAGUCAGAUGUGAAAUCCCCGCGCUUAACGUGGGAACUGCAUUUGAAACUGGCAAGCUAGAGUCUUGUAGAGGGGGAUAGAAUUCCAGGUGUAGCGGUGAAAUGCGUAGAGAUCUGGAGGAAUACCGGUGGCGAAGGCGGCCCCCUGGACAAAGACUGACGCUCAGGUGCGAAAGCGUGGGGAGCAAACA
rnacentral:rRNA from 1 species